rnacentral:lncRNA from 1 species
GCUAAAUAUAAUAGCAUGGAUUUAAAGAAGCCAAAGACAAAAGAAAGUAUACUGUAUGAUGUCAUUUAUACGAUGCUCACAAAUAGGAAAAACUAAUGUAUAGCAAUGAAAGGCAAGACAUGAAUUACCUUUGUAGGGGAAGUGAAUGGAGAGGCUCCAAGGGGAUGGGGGUUGGUAUACCGCCAGUGUUCUGUUUCAUGAUCUGAGGGUGUCACCCAAGUUCUCUUUGUAAAAGUAAUCAGAUCGUAUAUAUGUAAUCUGUGCACACAAUUGUAUUCCAGUAAAAAAUUUACUUGAGGAAAAGAAUAAUAUAUAGUUUAAUUUUUAAUUAUGUAGAAUUUUAGGAUCCCCUAGUAUCUCAGUAUUUCGGUGAAUCCCUCCUCCUUUCAGUUUUAUUUUCUAGACUCUGAACCGAUUAAAAAUUUGCUUGUUUUUUUUUCAGAAAAUUCAAAAAUUCAAAAAAUUCAAUAAUGAAUUUUUUACUCUAAAAGCAGAAGAGCUUGGCCAGAAAAGGUGAAUUGAUAAACGAAAUCAGUACAUGGAUUUUGAGCACUUCCAUGGGCCAGGCACUGUGCUUGGUGCUGGAAAUGAGCAGGUGAAAGGGGCAGAUACAAUUCUGGCCAAGGAGGCAGUCCCUGUCUAACAAGGGAAAUCCACAGAGAUGAAAGACUUCUUGGAAAUGCCAUGCACGCAGCUGUCAUUUGGAAAUGACAGCCAGCCUAGAGAAGGUUAAUGCUCUCAUCAAAAAUGCCCAUCCUCUGCCUUGGCUAAAUGGAUCUUUGUGGUUCGCCUGGCUGCUCGUCCCUUCUCCAGGAAUGAAGAGGAUGGGACACGAGAGUGGCUGUCGUGGAGAAUUUCCCAAACACGAAGGGUGCGACUACUUGCUGGCAGUCCAUUGCGUUCCCAGUCUCGCCAACAUUUCAAAAAGAGUAGCCCACAUACCACGUGUCUCAGAACUGCCCAGGGUGUGCAUUUCAACUGUGGGUUCUGGGCCCCGUGACUCCUCCUCCAGACUGUCUGAGCCCUGGGUUCAUUAUUUCAAUGUAGUUGGAAUUGAUGUGCUUAAUAAAAGUCCCUUCUCACUCUGAAA